rnacentral:rRNA from 1 species
UACGGAGGGUGCGAGCGUUGUCCGGAAUCACUGGGCGUAAAGGGCGCGUAGGCGGCCCGGUAAGUAGGGGGUGAAAUCUUGCGGCUUAACCGCAAGGCUGCCUUCUAAACUGCCAGGCUCGAGCACAGUAGAGGCAGGUGGAAUUCCCGGAGUAGCGGUGGAAUGCGUAGAGAUCGGGAAGAACAUCGGUGGCGAAGGCGGCCUGCUGGGCUGUUGCUGACGCUGAGGCGCGACAGCGUGGGGAGCAAACAGG